GUUAGGAAUAUUGGACAAUGGGCGAAAGCCUGAUCAGCCAUGCCGCGUGAACGAUGAAGGCCUUCGGGUUGUAAAGUUCUUUAGCCGAUGAUUAUAAUGACUGUAGUCGGAAAAUAAGCCCCGGCUAACUUCGUGCCAGCAGCCGCGGUAAUACGAAGGGGGCGAGCGUUAUUCGGAAUCACUGGGCGUAAAGCGUGCGUAGGCGGUUUUGUAAGUUAGGAGUGAAAGCCCAGGGCUCAACCUUGGAAUUGCUCUUAAAACUGCAAGGCUCGAAUCUCGGAGAGGAUAGCGGAAUUUCCAGUGUAGCAGUGAAAUGCGUAGAUAUUGGAAGGAACACCAGUGGCGUAAGCGGCUAUCUGGACGAGUAUUGACGCUGAGGCACGAAAGCGUGGGGAUCAAACAGGAUUAGAUACCCGUGUAGUCC
rnacentral:rRNA from 1 species